rnacentral:rRNA from 1 species
UAAUACAGAGGUCUCGAGCGUUGUUCGGAUUCAUUGGGCGUAAAGGGCGCGUAGGCGGCGGGGUAAGUCUGGUGUGAAAUCUCGGAGCUCAACUCCGAAAUUGCACUGGAUACUGCUCUGCUAGAGGCCUGGAGAGGAGAUCGGAAUUCACGGUGUAGCAGUGAAAUGCGUAGAUAUCGUGAGGAAGACCAGUGGCGAAGGCGGAUCUCUGGACAGCUCCUGACGCUGAGGCGCGAAGGCUAGGGGACCAAACGGGAUUAGAUACCCCGGUAGUCCUAGCAGUAAACGGUGCACGUUUGGUGUGCGCGGAUUCGACCCCGUGCGUGCCGGAGCUAACGCGUUAAACGUGCCGCCUGAGGAGUACGGUCGCAAGAUU